UACGUAGGGUGCAAGCGUUGUCCGGAAUUAUUGGGCGUAAAGAGCUCGUAGGCGGUCUGUCGCGUCUGGUGUGAAAACUCAGGGCUUAACCCUGAGCUUGCAUCGGGUACGGGCAGACUAGAGUGCGGUAGGGGAGACUGGAAUUCCUGGUGUAGCGGUGAAAUGCGCAGAUAUCAGGAGGAACACCGGUGGCGAAGGCGGGUCUCUGGGCCGUAACUGGACGCUGAGGAGCGAAAGCAUGGGGAGCGAACAGG
rnacentral:rRNA from 1 species